ACAGGGCAAGCAGGGGCACAGGU
rnacentral:miRNA from 15 species